UGAAGUUUAUGAGCAAGCAAAGGAACAGGAAUCAGCACAAACAACUGGUCAAGUGUCACAGCAGGAUAAUCACAAGCUGUUCUAAUCAGUCUUACCAUUUUGUCAUUUGUCUCAUUGAACUCCUUCAAGAUCCUCUCCCUUUGCUUCUGCGACAGUUUCCCGUCAAAUCUCAGGUAAUAAGAUCGGUUUUCCUCAGCAUUUGGCGACAGAUUGGGCACAGGCCACAGCUAUGUGUAAGCCAACUUGACAAAAGGCAUUCCCUGCACAUCCUAUGAGCACAAGGUGUGAGCACAGGGUCAUCUGCUGACUCAAGGCAAAUUGGGCACUCUGUAUUUUCGCCCCGUCGGAUGCCAUCAACUACCUCUUCAACAUAAGCUCUAGAUGGGACUAUCUGAUUACAGGAGGCUGAAUGGGGAUUCAUAUCAAGGAACUUUCUUGCAAGCUUGUUUAAAUCUGCAUACUGCUGGGAAUCACUUCGGCUGCGCAUCCAAUGGCGUGUCAAGAAAAUCUUUAUGCACAAACCAACAAAACAGAACUUUUGAGUCUAUUGAUACCUCAUGACAAGGAAUGGAUGGUUGCAGCACUGCCUCAAUCGAAGUAGAAGUUCCAGGAUAGAUGCGUAAUUGUGAAGAACCUUGCCCUGUGCUACAAAUUGAUCAAACCGUACCUGUUGUGAUUUUGCAAAAGAAUGUUAGCUGCAUCAGUAAAAGAGAAUAUUCUGGCUGAAGGUGUCUCUGGAAGAAACCGCAGGCACUAAAAUAAUAGUUCAAUACUUGGAUCGAAUCAUCCUCUCAUCCAUCAGGCCCGUGGAACAUAACUAAUUCAUCCAAACUAACAUGCACACUAUUACACACAGCAGUGAGACUUACUUUAGAUCUCCUGAAGAGCGCAUCAUAAAAAUCCUGUUCUGCUUCUGAUUGUUCACAUACAAUAAUUUGUAUGUCAGUUGGAGGGAGAGUAAGUAUCAGCCUGAAUGAGAAGUAUCAAAAUAUUAG